GAUGAAGAACGCAGCGAAAUGCGAUAAGUAAUGUGAAUUGCAGAAUUCAGUGAAUCAUCGAAUCUUUGAACGCACAUUGCGCCCGCCAGUAUUCUGGCGGGCAUGCCUGUUCGAGCGUCAUUUCAACCCUCAAGCUCUGCUUGGUAUUGGGCGUCGCCGGGGAGUCUCCCCGGCGUGCCUCAAAGCCAUCGGCGGUGGUGCCUUUCUCUAAGCGUGGUAGAAUUUUUAUUCGCUUCUGAGUUGGGCUUCGCCUGCCGGACAAACCGGGCCCUCGCGGCCCACCUUCUCAGGUUGACCUCGGAUCAGGUAGGGAUACCCGCUGAACUUAAGCAUAUCAAUAAGCGGAGGA
rnacentral:misc_RNA from 1 species